UACGGAGGGUGCGAGCGUUGUCCGGAAUCAUUGGGCGUAAAGGGCGCGUAGGUGGCUCGCCAAGCGGGCGGUGAAAGCCUGGGGCUCAACCCCGGGUCGGCCGUGCGAACUGGCGAGCUGGAGCACUGUAGAGGCAGGCGGAAUUCCGGGUGUAGCGGUGGAAUGCGUAGAGAUCCGGGAGAACACCGGUGGCGAAGGCGGCCUGCUGGGCAGUGGCUGACACUGAGGCGCGACAGCGUGGGGAGCAAACAGG
rnacentral:rRNA from 1 species